ACCCAGCAUGGAAGCUAUUUACCAAUCCGUUCAGAUAUUUUCAAUACUUGAACACCUAGUGAAACUUGGCUGGUGCUCAUCAGCAGAAUAUCACCUAGUCUCCAGAUAACAGGGGUAUUGCCUCGCUCAGUUUUCAAGGGUUACACUCAGCGGAAAAAGCCUGCAUCGGACGCAUGUGUCCUGAGAGCAUUCUGAGUUGAAAUAAACAUCCCUGUGUUUCCAUCUCUGCAUGCUUUUCUGAAGUAUAAUUGUUGGGUCGAAAGCAGCUUCAGGAACUGCUUGUCUUCAUAGUCAAAGCGGCUUCCAAAGACGACAGAACUGAUGACAUUUGAGACAGUGCGGCUCAGGAAGAAGCUGGGAUGUGGAAUUGAUGGCUGGAGCUCUAGCAGUCAUUUGCAUCAUGACAUGAUCUUGGGAAUGGAAAACACACAUCAUAGAACAAGAGAGAAGAGCCAGACCCUGUGGAGCACCCUACACUGACAACCUCUGAAAGUGUCCAAUAUGAACUUCUAAGGUCUGGGGGACUUUUCAGAUGCUGCCAAGUUUCUUUGGCCUGGACUGUGAUGUCCCAAGUGGAUUCAGGUGAACCCAGCAUCGUGUUUGUUUCUGUAGCAGUUGUGUACAGCACCCCUUCCUGUACGUUGCCUUUUUGCUGGAAAAUAUUGCACGUUGAAUCAAACUUUCUAUACAAGUUAGGGGGAGGGGUGCACCUCACCCAAGGUCAUGCCUUUUCUGGGGCAGCACACUUCAGCGAUUGAUGGAGAUGCAGGACAAUUCUGAUGAGCCAUAUUGCUCCAGAGCACCCAUGGAGUUAGCUGAGGCUGGUAUGGAAUCAGCCACAGAGCUAACUUCUUCCUCCACCCACUCCUGCUUCCUGGUCUCCCUUCUAUGGGUGUUGGUUGAUGCCAACAACACUCCCUAAUAACUAUCCUACAGACCAAACUCCAUGUCAGAGUCUGCUUCCCAAAGAACCCAACCAGCAACAGCCACGUACUGAUGAAGACAGUCAUCUAAGUGUAUAGAAGUUAACCAUGUGGUGAGCACCCAUUGUUGUAGAUGUGCUAAGAAGUGCAUUCAGGACAUGCCUAUCACCUUCUGGCUAUCUGCUCUGUAUCUUUCAUGCUGUUAUGUGCCACAUCCACUUCAUACAGAGGAAGAAACUGGAGAGAGAGUCUGAGGCCUGGUACCAUUUCAGGAGCUUUUAAGACCUCUGAGACUCUUCAGAUGCUGCCAAGUUUCUUUGGUCUGGACUGAGAUGUCCCAAGUGGAUUCACGUGCAUCCAGAUGAGUUGCCAAAGAUAUCCCUUCUGUGCCGUUUUGUUCUCAUAUCCUGAGCCAUGCAAACUGUAAAGCCAUAGUAAAUAUGAAACAACAGAGACUAGGUAAACUGGGUAGAAAUGAUACUGGUGGAAACUUUAUUUUGGGUCUCUCGUGAGGUUGCUGCCUGGGGCUAAAUUGAUCCGAAGGCUUGGCUGAGGCUGAAAGAUUCAUUCCUGAGUCCACUCAAGUGACUAUAAUACUACAGAAUAAGGAAUUUAUUAUAGAAAUUAGACCUUACAAAAUGGUGGGGCUAGCUAGAAAGAUAAAGAUCUGAACAGGGAAUCAAGAACCAGAGAAAGCUCAUUAAACAGCCCUGAGACAGAUGAGUGAGUCAGAAAUCUGGAUGUUAGGCACAUCCAUUGUUAGAGAAAGACCACGAAGGGGGAGGAACUUCUCUAGAAGCUUAUUGGCUUUUUGGGCUACCACUUCUGUGAGUUCAAAGUGAGAUGGCUGGUGGUGGGUUUGGGGCCAUUUUUGAUCAGCAGGACCAGCAGUUGGGAAGGACAGUUGUAUGUAGAAAAAUAAGAUCGAGGACAAACCAGAACCCUUCACCAAUUCUAAAUCUGUCUCCCAAUGUCUGUGACUUAUGGCAGUCUUCAAAGAAAAAUGGCUGCUCCUUGGUUUCCACCUCAAAAAUCCCAUACAUCCUUGCUUCUUGCUAAUUCUAACGUGGAGCCAGGCAAGGAUGUGAAACCAAGCAGAUAAAAAACGCACAACAUAGGAACUAAAGCACUCGCUGAAAGUGGCCGGGCAGGAAGAAGGCACCUAAGUCCUUGAUUUCAUGGUGCCCUAGACACAUGGAGCUGUCAUCCUAGUCUUGGACUGUUUAAGCUGUGCAUUUUUCUUAUUUUUAAUUUUUUUAAUGUCUCUUGGAUCUAUUUGGAACCCUCUUGCUGCAAUCCCAACAAAAAAGGAAAGGACCUAGAGAAACAUAACAGACUGAUUAUGUGACUUUGGAAAAGUCCCUUCUAGAUAUCUGAGCCUCAGUUCUCCUAAGUCUAAAAAACACAAGAUGUUUCAGUAUUAGGAAAUGUAUUAACGUAAGCCAUUACAUUAAUAGGUCAAAGGGGAAAAAGACCAUAUGAUCUUAGUGUGGGCCAGGCAGUGUUCCAGGCACUACAGAUACUUCAGAGAGUGACAUCAUAGUGUAGAGGAAGUAGACUAUAAUAAACAAGUUAAUACAUACACAAGGUGUUGGCUAGUGAGUGGGACCAAGAAACUAAAACAGAGUGGGGCACCUGGGUGGCUCAGUCAGUUAAGCUGCCGACUCUUGAUUUCGGCUCAGGUCAUGAUCUCACAGUUUGUGAGUUUGAGCCCUCCACUGGGCUCUGCGCUCACAGUGCAGAGCCUGCUUCAGAGCCUGCUUCAGAUCCUGUGUCUCCCUCUCUCUGCCCCUCCACUGCUUGUGCCUGUGCACGCUCUCUCUCUCUCUCAAAAAUAAAUAAAAAUUGUAAAAAAGAAAAGAAAACAGAGUAAGAAAAUUAAAAGUAAUUUAAUUAGAGGGCUACUUUAUUUAUUUUUAAUGUUUUUAAUGUUUAUAUUUAGACAGAGAGACAGAGACAGAGUGUGAGUAGAGUAGGGGCAGAGAGAGAGGGAGACACGGAAUCUGAAGCAGGCUGCAGGCUCUGAGCUGUCAGCACAGAGCCCAACAUAGGGCUCAGACUCAUGGAGUGUAAGAUCAUGACCUGAACUGAAGUCAGCUGCUUAACGGACUGAGCUACCCUGGCUCCCCUAGAGGGCUACUUUAAAUAAGUUGAUUCAAUCUUCUAAAGAGAGCAUUUAUGCAGAGGUCUGGAGGAUGAAAGUGAAGCCUGUUGAGAAAUAAAGAGGAAAGAGAAUCGCAGGUAAAGGGAGCAGCAAGGGUAGCAGUCCUCAACCUGAAAGGACUCCUGAGGUUCAGGAAAGAGAGAGGCCAGUGGGACAGGGGUGUGUUGAUUGACAGCUAGGUCUGGAAGCCACAGUAGGGUGUCUGGGUCCUCAUUGUUUGCGGCACUCAACCACUCAAAAUUCAAAAUCCAGAGAGGACUAAGUACCUGGUGGACCUGACUUGGGUCAUGUGGCCAGGGAAACUUGCAUGGGGCAACUUGAUCAACCCCCAAGUAGAUUUCAUCUAGUGGGGAUGUUGAGAUACCCAGAGCUAAGUACCGGUGCUGCUAUCUGAAGAAGGAGGAGCGGAAGCUGGGAGGGCACAACGAAAGCUAUCAAUUGUACUACAUCAAUGGCACAAGAGCUCCACCCCCAGUGAGAACAAAAUACGUACUUCUUAAGAGGUGCAAUUAUUGGAAAAUGAUGUCAAUACAAAUCUCUGCUUCCUCCUAGCUGUCUGUGAUGCUGCCACCUCGGCAGAUUUUGUACGUUUGUUUCUCCCUCUGUCCAGGCGCCCUUCCUUUUCUUUCCAUAUCAUUCCUUCCUCUGCUGCGUCAGAUGCUUGGAGAGGUUUGUGUGUGUCCCCAUUGUUUCAGGGCUGGGAAAAGCAGCCACAGUCCCGAAAGGCAACCACUCAUCAGCACCACGAACAGCGGCCCACAAACCUCCUAUUCCUAUUCUCUCCCAAACCUUUUCAAGGACGUCGUGAUGGAUUUUAGACACGCCUACAAAUGCUUUCACACUCCUCCAGUCAGGGAGGGAGUCUGAUGCCCUUUCUCCUGAAGGUCUGACUUCCCCACUUGCUUCUAUUUGAGCUGGUGGAUGAAGGGUCUGACUGGGCUGGUGAUUAAGCCAAGCCCACCCAGGAUAAUCUCCUUGUUGAGAUUGAGUUAAGGAAAUGCAAGUAAAAAUACAGAAAGUACUUUCAUGGAACACAUUAUGGGAAUUAAGGCUGUAUCUCUCAAUAUCUCCCUGGGGACUCAUAGCUUCCUGUUUUGCUUCCCUCAACAUGCCUACUUGAAGGCUUUUGUGAACCCACAACAUUUGGCUUGAAUGUGUUUCUGGCUUUCCCUGGCAUCGUGACUUACUCGAGCAAAGUGACUUUG